rnacentral:rRNA from 1 species
UACGUAGGGGGCAAGCGUUGUCCGGAUUUAUUGGGCGUAAAGCGCGUGUAGGCGGCCAGGUAGGUCCGCUGUGAAAACCCGAGGCUCAACCUCGGGACGUCGGCGGAAACCCUUUGGCUAGAGUCCGGAAGAGGAGAGUGGAAUUCCCGGUGUAGCGGUGAAAUGCGCAGAUAUCGGGAAGAACACCCGUGGCGAAGGCGGCUCUCUGGGACGGUACUGACGCUGAGACGCGAAAGCGUGGGGAGCGAACAGG